rnacentral:piRNA from 1 species
UCCCAUAAGUGAUAUUCUUCGCGGUAGC